CCUAUAGCUCAGUUGGUAGAGCAGCUGACUCUUAAUCAGCGGGUCCAAGGUUCGAAUCCUUGUAGG
rnacentral:tRNA from 1 species